AUUAGAAACUUUUGGUGGGGGGGUGAAAAUGAGAGAAGGAAGAUACACUGGCUUGCCUGGGAUAAGCUGCUAAAACCAAAAGGCAAGGGGGGUAUGGGUUUCUGGGACCUUCGCCUAUUUAACCAAGCCCUCCUUGCUAAGCAGGCUUGGCGACUUAUUCAAUUUCCAGACAGCUUAUGUGCUAGAUUAUUGAAGGCGAAAUAUUAUCCACAUGGCAACCUAGCUAAUACUGCCUUUAUCCAGAACGCGUCACCGUGCUGGCAAGGAAUCUGUCAUGGUCUGGAUCUUCUUAAGAAAGGCAUUAUCUGGAGAAUUGGUGAAGGUGAUAAAGUUAAAGUAUGGAGGGAUAAUAGGAUUCCAAGGGGAAAUCUAAAAAUCUCCGGGAAAAAAUCUCGAACUAGGAUAAAAUGGGUCUACGAGCUUAUCGAUCCAGUGUCAAGGACAUGGAAUGAGGAUUUGGUUAGGAAAAUAUUCCUACCUCAUGAUGUGGAUGAAGUGUUAAAAAUUUGUCUCUGA
rnacentral:rRNA from 1 species